UCCUGUAAUUGGCACCGGUUCAAACCGGUGCCAACUUAAAAAAAAAAUAAAUAAAAAUAAAUUAAAAAAUGGUAUGGAAGAGAGUUGGCACCUGUUCACCUGUUCAAACCGGUGCCAUUUAUGACAAAAAAAACCGGGUUUCAAUUCCUUAAUAUAUAAUACUUCUUCGUUUUUCAGUAUUUCAUUCAAGCAGCUUCUUCGUUUUUCAUUCUCUCUACCUCUGAAAUAAUUGCAUGCUCUCCUUCCUAAUCUCUCAUCUUUCAUCUCGAUCUCUUCUCUCUCACCUCUAUUCUUCUUCUUUAAAUUGUCGUUCUUCUCUCAUCUCGUUCUGCUUCUUUGACCCCUCUAAUCUCUGUUCUUCUUUCUCCAACCAAGCACAACAACCAAGCUGUCGUCGUCAACCACAACAAACAUCGCCGCCGCCUUAAAUCUGGGUUUGAAGUUUCUGAUUUUUUAAUUUUCGGUUUGAAGGUCGUGAAUUUGCCGAGUAUGAAGUUCGAAGUUUCUGGGUUGUAAAUUGUAAAAUUACAAAUUCAGCAAUUUCUCUGUUUUUUUUUUAAUAAAUUGUAAAAUAACAAUUUAUUUGAUGAAUAUAGCCUUGUUCGAUUUCUUGUUUUGGAUUGUA